rnacentral:rRNA from 2 species
GACGAACCGUGCGAACGUUAUUCGGAAUCACUGGGCUUAAAGCGCGUGUAGGCGGCCCGGCACGUCCGUCGCUGAAAUCCCCCGGCUCAACCGGGGAAGGGGCGCGGAUACGACCGGGCUGGAGGGGGGUAGGGGGAGCCGGAACUUCCGGUGGAGCGGUGAAAUGCGUUGAGAUCGGAAGGAACGCCCGUGGCGAAAGCGGGCUCCUGGACCCCACCUGACGCUGAGACGCGAAAGCCAGGGGAGCGAACGGG